ensembl:miRNA
UGCUGUGGAUUAGGCUUUGGUUUAAGGGAAUGUUGUGGCUGUUUUGAUCUUCUAUCCAGACCACUAAAACUUUCUCCACAUCAGC